rnacentral:rRNA from 1 species
GUGCACCAGUCGAGAAAACUUCACACUGUGCGAAAGCACGAUGAGGGAAUCCCAAGUGCUUGCACGUAGGUGUAAGCUGUUUCUCUGUUUAAAACGCAGAGAGAGUAAGGGCUGGGUAAGACGGGUGCCAGCCGCCGCGGUAAUACCUGCAGCUCAAGUGGUGACCGUUAUUAUUGGGCCUAAAACGUCCGUAGCCGGUUUAAUAAAUGCCUGGGUAAAUCGUGUAGCUUAACUAUACGAAUUCCGGGUAGACUGUUAAACUCGAGACCGGGAGAAGUUAGAGGUACUCCUGGGGUAGAGGUGAAAUUCUGUAAUCCUAGGGGGACCACCAGUGGCGAAGGCGUCUAACUAGAACGGGUCUGACGGUGAGGGACGAAGCCCUGGGGCGCAAACGGGAUUAGAUACCCCUGUAG